rnacentral:rRNA from 1 species
AGUGGCGGACGGGUGAGUAACACGUGAGCAACCUGCCUUUCAGAGGGGGAUAACGUUUGGAAACGAACGCUAAUACCGCAUAAAAUAUCGGAGUCGCAUGGCACUGAUAUCAAAGGAGCAAUCCGCUGAAAGAUGGGCUCGCGUCCGAUUAGGCAGUUGGCGGGGUAACGGCCCACCAAACCGACAAUCGGUAGCCGGACUGAGAGGUUGAACGGCCACAUUGGGACUGAGACACGGCCCAGACUCCUACGGGAGGCAGCAGUGGGGGGUAUUGCACAAUGGGGGAAACCCUGAUGCAGCGAUGCCGCGUGAAUGAAGACGGCCUUCGGGUUGUAAAGUUCUGUCGCAGGGGACGAAAAUGACGGUACCCUGCAAGAAAGCUCCGGCUAACUACGUGCCAGCAGCCGCGGUAAUACGUAGGGAGCAAGCGUUGUCCGGAAUUACUGGGUGUAAAGGGAGCGUAGGCGGGAGGAUAAGUUGAAUGUGAAAUCUAUGGGCUCAACCCAUAGCUGCGUUCAAAACUGUUCUUCUUGAGUGAAGUAGAGGCAGGCGGAAUUCCUAGUGUAGCGGUGAAAUGCGUAGAUAUUAGGAGGAACACCAGUGGCGAAGGCGGCCUGCUGGGCUUUUACUGACGCUGAGGCUCGAAAGCGUGGGUAGCAAACAGGAUUAGAUACCCUGGUAGUCCACGCGGUAAACGAUGAUUACUA